AGUCAGGUAUAGUAGUCAUGCCUUUGCUCUAGCUUAUAUAUUCAUGUCUAUGUUACUUUCACACUUCUAUUUAUUAAUUUCAUGAAGUCAGUGGGUUUGCAAAAUGAAAGAAUCGUCAUCCUUUUUAAACCACUAGUCCUAAUGUUUCAAAUGAAUUUUCCAAUUUCUUUUUGGGCUGAUGUUUCCAUAGCCCGUUUCUUAACAAAUUGCAUGCCCUCUUCCAUUUUUAAGGGUGAGAUACCUUUUUGUAUCUUAUGCCCCAAACAACAUUUGUUUCUCAUUCCACCCAAAAUAAUUGGUUAUACUUGAUUUGUCCAAGACGUUCGGCCUCAACAUACAAAGUUGGAUCCAAAGACCUUAAAAUAUAUCUUUUUGGUUAUUCUCGUGUUCUUUGAACAUUCCUCCUUUUAUUCCUCACCUUCUUUCUCUUCGAAUAUGAGUCGAGGGAGUAUCAAGAGUCAAAGGAUGAUUUCUUUAUCUACAAUGUUAUCUCUCCUUCUAAUCCUCUUUGUGGUUCAUCUUCACGUGUGUUUACUUCUAUUUGUCAACCCAUCACUGAAGUCUAUGAUCGACGACAACCUUCUUCAAUUCCAUGCCCUACCCCUAAGGCUUCUUCGUCAUUGGAUCCAGAAAUGAGUGAUGAUCUUCCUAUUGCUCUUCGUAAAGCAAGGAGCAGCUGGCAAACAAAUUUCUUUAUGCCAUAAAUGCGGAUGCUGGUUUUGAUCUAAGCUAAUGGUAAGUCGUACCCUGCUCAAUAUUCCUUCUAUUCUCCACUUCAUCCUUCGCCUUGGCCAUAAUUUCCAAUCAUACAUGGAAUUUACUUUGGUUGAUUAUUUUUUUCUUUCUUUUGGAUAAGGAUAUCCUGGUCUUGCCCUUAUCAUGGAAGAUUCUUGUAUAUCUUUCAUCCCAUACUUUGGUUGAAUUUUGGAACAUUAAUGUAUCGCCUGACAUUCAUAAAUACACUGUCAUAAUUUUAAAUCUGCUGUCUUCCUACAUUAUGCAUGUUUUUCUGUUAUUGAAGAUGCUGCCCGGUUGUGCUAAAAGUUCUCAGUCACAUUCUAAAUUUUUCUUUAGUUCGCAAGCAGUCAUGUUAAAAGAUCUCAAUCACAUUAAGUGAUUUUUGACAGGAUGUUGUUGUUUUAUCCUUCUUCUUGUUGAUAUACCUUUCGUAACAUCCUUUCAUCCCUAAUCUCAUCCUCGACCACAACCACUGCUUUGACCACGAUCGUCUCUCCGAAGAUUUGUGAGGUAUGUUCUUGGAUUGGUUUGACAUUCUACUUUUCUCCCAUUCUCAAUAAAUACUAAUCACCGCUUCAUCUCUAAUCUCAUCCUCGGCCAUGCCCUGAUUUUGUCUAAUUUUGUUUUCUGUUAUUUUGUGAAAUUCUUAUUUUUCUUGUGAUCUUUACAUGUAGAGAUAGGAAGAAAUAUCAUGCUCCAAAUACUAGUCCUUAUGUUUCAAUUGGCGUUAGAUUUAUUUAUGUGUCCCAAGAAAAUCGAUCACAUUGCACGAUACCUUGAGCUCCUUCGGUAAAAUCUGAAUCAAAAGUGCCUCCACUACUCAUUGUAAACAUUGAUCAGUCAAUUAAGGAUCCUCUAGAAUCUGAUCUUAAUACCGCUUUCAGACAAGGGAGGAUUUAAUUACUGAGAAACAAGUCUCUUUAUUUCCCUCACAAGCUCGACAAUGUGAAGUUCCAGAUCGCUUGAAGUCAAUUGUUGAGCAAUGUGGAACUACUUUGGUUUGAGUAUAGAAUAACUUGAUCUUGGUUUUUCAGCCAAUUAUCUUUUAGGUUUGUUUUAGUGGAUCACAUGAGGUUCGACGAAUGCUUUUAUUAUUUUGGCCCUCUAAAGUUCUUAUGAAAUAUUCUGGUUCUAGUCACUCACUCAAGAUCGAAGGAUGACUUGGGAGGGAUAUUUUUUUCAACAAAGCUGCAUUGUUGUUAGCUCUCCCUUGGUGUUUCCUUCCAUCUAGUCUGAAGUUUUUAGAAGUCUACUGAAAUUUUGAGCCCAUGAAGUAGUGGAAGAGUCCCAAAACUUCUUUACAUCUCCAUUAUUAGAGUUCAAAGACAAUCGAAACAAUCUUGGAAAAGAAACAUCUGCCCAAGAAUCAUUCCAAAAUGCUAUUCUUCAACCAUCACCGAACUUGAUGAAUGCCUAGGAAUCCACUUGAAGCUAGCAUCUCGAAAUACUAAUCCAGGGACUAUGGAGACUGCAAGUGACAAUUCCUUUAGUAUGCCAUCCAAAUUAACUUUCUCCAUGGAUACUCUUCACCACUUUUUUAGCCCAAAGGGAAUUCUUUUCAUUUAUAAAUCUCCAUACCCAUUUAGCAAGAAGGUUGCAUUUUUUCAACUUUACACCAUCGACGUCGAGUCCGUCAUCCUCUUGCGAGCAAGACACCACCUUCCAAUUAAUCACUUUAUGAAUCAUCUUUUUUGGCAUUAAGAAUAUAGACAUAUAAUAUGUAGGUAUAUAGGAAAAAACUGACUUACAAAGUGUGCCCCGACCUCCACUAGAGAGAUUAUAUCUUUUCUACUUAUCUAGUUUAACUUGGAUUUUAUCUAUUUCUUGAAAUUACAUAAGGAGAGCUCCAAGCCGAAGUAGUUAUGGAAAACAUCUCCAAUUUACAACAAGUUAAAGCAAAAAAAAAAAAAAAAACAGUUGUUCAAAAAAACUUGGCAUCUUGCUUACUUCUAAUUGAAAGUCUGUUGUUUCUUUCAAGUCAAAUUGAGCAUAAAAUGCUCAAAUGAGAUUCUUCAAUAGGAAUACGUAAAAAAAAAAAAUCAUAUGUAAAAGAAUUUUCAAUGUUUAAUAUAAUAUGUAAAAUAAUUUUCUUAUAUUGGAAUUGAUAGAUGGUUGAGGGCGCCUUCGUGAAACGUGGGAGACAAGUGAUAACAUUAUCGUUCAAAAAAAUCAGGAGCAAGUAUUUAUGUGAAAGGCCAUAUUAUUUGGCCAUUUGACCUUAUGUAUUAUUGAAUUAUUUAGUUGGAAAUGAUAAACUACACAUUAUUGUCUGCUUGAGUUGUGAUCUUGAUUAUGGGCUAUUUGGUAUUUUGCCUACAAACUGUAUAGUUAAUUAUCUGUUAGAUUUUGUUUUCAUGUCACAACUUUAUGUUUCUGUGGCUAAUUGUAGCCAAAAGUUUUAUUUAUCGAUCUUAUUUUUCACAUUCAAGAAAAUUCAUCGUAGAGAUCCGUAAGUUUUUUCCUUUGGAGCUGUGAUACUAACCUGUUUGAAUAAAGGAAUCUGACUUGGUCUUUUCCUCUUUAGCAUUAUGGAUUAGGUCUUUCUCUUUACCAUAUUUCGUGGAUGAAGUUUAAGAAGUAAUCAAAAUAUAAAGGUUAAUGCUAACUGCUAAGCUUAUUUCGAAGAUGAAAGAUACUUUUAUCCACUCCCCAAAGAAUAUCAUUACUAUUUAUGUUGUAUUUCUGCUAACUAAUUCUUGCAUAGCAUCUAGUUUGAUAAUUAAAGUAAAGUUUCUGACAUGGAGGUUUUCAAGUUGUAAUAUAUAUUUAUGUUUUAGGUAGAUUCCCAAACUUUGAAGAAACAUUGCAGUACUGAGGUAAAUGAACGUUGUAUGACAGAGCAUCGGGCUUACCGAAGCCAAGGUAUCUUCUUCGAUAACAAGGUUCAUAAUUGCAUUACUUGUGCUACAAGCACUCGUAAACACACCCCUUGUGCUUUGGCUAUUGUUUGAGAUUCUGCACAUUUCAGAUGUUGAGGUACGAGAGACCAAGAUGAUGGGAAGCACUCCCAUUAUCAUUGUAGCUUUCCAAACGCAACAGGUUUACUGUGUACGUGAUGCAAAUGGAUCAAUUAGAGAAGGCGGUAAGAGCAGAAGACAUGCAUCAAAAACCAAGGAGAGAGUAAAGAUCGUGCAAAACUAUAAGCAAGAAGAGGAAAAGGGAGCAUGCGAUCUUUUUAUAUUUUCUCUUCUAUAUGGUACUAUUUAAGAAAAGAUAAAUUCAAGAGAUAAGAAUAUGUAAAACUUUUAUUAUAUAUGUGUGUAUGGCUGCUAUUAUUGUAAAAAUAAAAAUAUGCUUUCAAUUGUUUAACUAACAAAAAUUUCAGCAAGGUUCAACUAAAGUUCCUA